AGCAAAUUGUGCCUCGGAUGGAGUUUUAGUUGGACACCAGCUAUUGUUCUUGAGAUGUUUUGUAGGUCUGUCAAUGUUAGAAAGUGAAGUUUCCAUGGAAGUUUUGGAGUUGAAACUGGGAUGAGAGAAUGAAUGUUGCUGUAAAGUCUCUCCAAAAGCAGCAGCAAUCGGAAGUAAAGUAGGCUCAUAAAUAGAGCUCAAAUGCCACUGAUGAAGAUAGCACAGGAGCUUUAUAUCUUACCAGAUCAGUUAACCCUCUGAGUGAAGAAAUAUCCAUAAGAAAACAACUCCUGCAAUCAAAAGAUCUCUCAAGAAACUAUCCUGGAAGAGAAGAUUCAGCUAGAGUUGUUGAGACUUUUUGAGAUGUUAUUCACCAACUAGCGAUUGAAAUUUUGAAUUAAGUGUUCGCAAAUCAAAUGAUCAUGUUUGAGAAUGUGGUCCCUCACGCACCAUGUC